GGUUCCGUAGUGUAGUGGUUAUCACGUUCGCUUUACACGCGAAAGGUCCCCGUUUCGAUCCCGGGCGGAACCA
rnacentral:tRNA from 1 species